rnacentral:rRNA from 1 species
GAUGAACGCUGGCGGCGUGCCUAAUACAUGCAAGUCGAGCGAACAGAUGAGGAGCUUGCUCCUCUGACGUUAGCGGCGGACGGGCGCGUAACACAUGUAUAACAUACCUAUAAGACUGGGAUAACUUCGCGAAACAGGAGCUAAUACCGGAUCAGAUAUUGAACCGCAUUGUUCAAUAGUGAAAGACGGGUUUGCUGUCACUCAUAGAUGGAUCCGCGCCGCAUUAGCCAGUUGGUAAGGUAACGGCUUACCAAGGCAACGAUGCGUAGCCGACCUGAAAGGGUGAUCGCCCACAUGGGACCGGAGACAGGGUCAAGCCUCCUACGGGGGGAAGCAGUAGGGAAUCUUCCGCAAGGGGGGAAAGCCUGACGGAGCAACGCCGCGUGAGGGAUGAGGGUCUUCGGAUCGUAAACCUCUGUUAUUAGGGAGGAACAAAUGUGUAAGUAACUAUGCACGUCUUGACGGUACCUAAUCAGAAAGCCACGGCUAACUACGUG